UACGGGGGGAGCAAGCGUUGUUCGGAUUUACUGGGCGUAAAGGGCGCGUAGGCGGUCGUGACAAGUCACUUGUGAAAUCACCGGGCUUAACUCGGAAAGGUCAAGUGAUACUGUCGGACUAGAGUACAGAAGGGGCAACUGGAAUUCUCGGUGUAGCGGUGAAAUGCGUAGAUAUCGAGAGGAACACCUGCGGCGAAGGCGGGUUGCUGGGCUGAUACUGACGCUGAGGCGCGAAAGCUAGGGGAGCGAACGGG
rnacentral:rRNA from 1 species